rnacentral:lncRNA from 1 species
CUGAGGAUGUAGCUAAGUGUGAAGGCCACACUAUUGCCAAGAAAAGGAAGACUGGAAUCUGAUGGAAGGAAGGAGGAGAAAAAGGAAGGAAGACAGGAAAACUGAAAUCUGACGUCUGACAAGCUGGAAAUCAGCCAUAAAUGCUUGGGUGUGGAGUUUGAACAGAGCAGUCUUCUGACCUUGAGAAUAGAGCUACAGGAACAUAGGACACUGGCAUGUAUGGGGGGAGCAUUUAAUUUUUAACUUUUUGGUUUUUUCUUUCCUUUUUAAUCCACAGGAUGUAUCAUAUUCCCAGCCCCCAUCAAAGCCCAUUCGUAGAAAAUUCAGACCUGAAAAUCAGUCUACAGAAAGCCAAGAGCCUUCUACUGCUGUAGGUGGGCCAGCUUCUGGAGCAACUGUGAAACCCCAUCCAACAGUCCAAAAGCAGUCUUCCAAACAGAAGAAGGCCAUUCAAACUGCUAUCCGCAAAAAUAAAGAGGCAAACGCAGUACUUGCCCGAUUGAACAGUGAACUGCAACAGCAGCUUAAGUGUCAGUCCUAAGAUCAUUGUAACUUGAGAAGCAGAAAAAGGGAAUAAAGCAUCUGAAAAAAAAUUCAAGUAUACAAUCAACUCAGAAGAAAAAUAGAAAGAAUGAUCACACGUGGAGUUGUGCGAAAGAUGCCGAAUCAGCCUGCUGCAGACAGGCAGGUCUGUGCACCCCCUACCAAGUUGCCGAGUCACGCGGAAGAUGCCGAAUCACCCCGCUGCAGACAGGCAGCCACCUGGUUCCACACUACAAAGACGCAGAGGACACCAGACCACCAGACCAAGUCUCCAAGGUCAAAGAAGAAGAAAGAAGAAGGAAGGGGCAGCACUUGUGUUGGCAAAGCAAAAACAUGUCCAGAAGUCUCCAGCAGAUUUCCAUGUAGAUGUCCCUGUACAGAACAGUGUCAUCUGGCCAACGCUGAAUGCAAGGGAGUCUAGGACGGUCAGAAGAUUGGCUGAUGCCAUUGCCACAUGAAUGAAAUUGGUAUUCUGCUGGAAAAACGGAAAUGGGUAAGUG